GGUGCUGCGUGGCUGUCGUCAGCUCGUGUCGUGAGAUGUUGGGUUAAGUCCCGCAACGAGCGCAACCCUUGCCUUUAGUUGCCAGCAGUUCGGCUGGGCACUCUAAAGGGACUGCCGGUGUUAAACCGGAGGAAGUGGGGAUGACGUCAAGUCCUCAUGGCCUUUAUGACCAGGGCUACACACGUACUACAAUGGCCGAUACAAAGGGCAGCGACACUGCGAGGUGAAGCCAAUCCCGUAAAAUCGGUCUCAGUCCGGAUUGGAGUCUGCAACUCGACUCCAUGAAGUUGGAAUCGCUAGUAAUCGUGGAUCAGCAUGCCACGGUGAAUACGUUCCCGGGCCUU
rnacentral:rRNA from 1 species